UACAGGGGGUGCAAACGUUGCUCGGAAUCAUUGGGCGUAAAGCGCACGUAGGCGGUUCGUUAUGUCGGAUGUGAAAGCCCUUGGCUUAACCGAGGAAGUGCAUCCGAAACUGGCGAGCUAGAGUACGAAAGAGGAUCGCGGAAUUCCCGGUGUAGAGGUGAAAUUCGUAGAUAUUCGGAAGAACACCAGUGGCGAAGGCGACUUACUGGACACAUAUUGACGCUGAGGUGCGAAAGCGUGGGGAGCAAACAGG
rnacentral:rRNA from 2 species